GGCAGAGGUUUCAGUGAACCGAAAUUGUGCCACUGCACUCCAGCACUUUUAAAACAUUUGUUUCUUGGGUAUAGCAUUUUCUCAGGACGUUUCCCAGCUUUCCAUUCUCUUCAGACUGUGCAUUUUACCCUGUUAGGAUUUUCCCUUAAGUCAAUUCCUAGGCUUUAUGUCACAUAAUUAGAUAAAUCAAUUAAAACCACAUACUUCUUGUUAUUUUGCUAGUUCAACUUAUGGUAUUGCAUGCAAAAUAUGUUGUUAUGAGAAAGUGUUAAUAAUUUUUCUUGCAUUAUAUGUGUUUUCUAACGUGCUAUAUUUUCUAAACAUAGGCAUGGACUCAUUGUUCUCUAUUAAGCAUUAUAAUUAUUUCUGUAUUAAAUUUAAUAUAUUUUUCUUACAUUUACUUUUGAGUUGUGUCCAU
rnacentral:lncRNA from 10 species